UACGGAGGGAGCUAGCGUUGUUCGGAAUUACUGGGCGUAAAGCGUACGUAGGCGGUUACUCAAGUCAGAGGUGAAAGCCCGGGGCUCAACCCCGGAACUGCCUUUGAAACUAGGUAGCUAGAAUCUUGGAGAGGUCAGUGGAAUUCCGAGUGUAGAGGUGAAAUUCGUAGAUAUUCGGAGGAACACCAGUGGCGAAGGCGGCUCACUGGUCCGGUACUGACGCUGAGGCGCGACAGCGUGGGGAGCAAACAGG
rnacentral:rRNA from 1 species